AACAACUAGGCCGUAACAAGCCUUGAACCCUUCUCUACGCGCACCUUUACCUUCUCCUUCGGCGGGUCAGCGCCCGCCGUCGGAACCAACAAACCCCCUUUUGCAUCUAGCAUACCACCCGUUCCGAUACAAAACACAAUCGUUA
rnacentral:misc_RNA from 2 species